CUCCAAUAGCGUAUAUUUAAGUUGCUGCAGUUAAAAAGCUCGUAGUUGGAUUUCUGCCGAGGACGAACGGUCCACACUUCGUGUGCGUAUCUGUCUCUUCCUGGGCAUCUUCUUGGAGAACGUUGCUGCACUUGAUUGUGUGGUGCGGUAUCCAGGACAUUUACUUGAGGAAAUUAGAGUGUUUCAAGCAGGCGUGCGCC
rnacentral:rRNA from 1 species